rnacentral:rRNA from 1 species
GCCAGACUCCUACGGGAGGCAGCAGUGAGGAAUAUUGGUCAAUGGUCGGGAGACUGAACCAGCCAAGCCGCGUGAGGGAGGAAGGUACAGAGUAUCGUAAACCUCUUUUGUCGGAGAACAAAACCCAGGACGUGUCCCGGACUGCGUGUAUCCGAAGAAAAAGCAUCGGCUAACUCCGUGCCAGCAGCCGCGGUAAUACGGAGGAUGCGAGCGUUAUCCGGAUUUAUUGGGUUUAAAGGGUGCGUAGGCGGACGCUUAAGUCAGCGGUAAAAUUGCGGGGCUCAACCUCGUCGAGCCGUUGAAACUGGGUGCCUUGAGUGGGCGAGAAGUACGCGGAAUGCGUGGUGUAGCGGUGAAAUGCAUAGAUAUCACGCAGAACUCCGAUUGCGAAGGCAGCGUACCGGCGCCCAACUGACGCUGAAGCACGAAGGCGUGGGUAUCGAACAGGAUUAGAUACCCCAGUAA